rnacentral:rRNA from 1 species
AGUGAACGCUGGCGGUAGGCCUAACACAUGCAAGUCGAACGGCAGCACAGUAAGAGCUUGCUCUUACGGGUGGCGAGUGGCGGACGGGUGAAGAAUACAUCGGAAUCUACUUUUUCGUGGGGGAUAACGUAGGGAAACUUACGCUAAUACCGCAUACGACCUACGGGUGAAAGCAGGGGAUCUUCGGACCUUGCGCGAUUGAAUGAGCCGAUGUCGGAUUAGCUAGUUGGCGGGGUAAAGGCCCACCAAGGCGACGAUCCGUAGCUGGUCUGAGAGGAUGAUCAGCGACACUGGAAGUGAGACACGGUCCAGACUCCUACGGGAGGCAGCAGUGGGGAAUAUUGGACAAUGGGCGCAAGCCUGAUCCAGCCAUACCGCGUGGGUGAAGAAGGCCUUCGGGUUGUAAAGCCCUUUUGUUGGGAAAGAAAAGCAGCAGGUUAAUACCCCGCUGUUCUGACGGUACCCAAAGAAUAAGCACCGGCUAACUUCGUG